AGGAAACACAGCUCUUUUAGAAUUUUUUUCUAGUAGCUUUUCUGACUUUGGUAAGAAAACCCAU